rnacentral:lncRNA from 1 species
CUCACUUAACAUCUCCAAUAUCAAUCAUACAUCCUGCUUAGCAUCAUAAUCACAAUCAUAAAUCAUCAUGCAUUUGUUCACACAACUUGUGAACAAUUUACCUGUAUAUCAGCAUGUAACAUAAUCUCAAUCAUCAUCCACAUCAAACAUCAUCAAGCACACUCAUCAUGCAAUAAAAAAGUCAAACCAUAAUCAGAAAAGGUGUUCAGGCAAGUACAGACAUACCCUACACUACUCAACAAAAUCCAUCCUAAUCUAAA